UUCUCUUCUCUCUCGUUCUCCCCUGUGAGUUUUCCCUGUUUCUACUACCACCACCAUCGUUAUCAUCAAGAUCAAAACCAAACCCUAGAUUCAGAUUUUUUUUUCUUCUCCUUUUGAUUUUUUCCACUCAAAAUCUUUGACCCGAUUUCUGAUCUUAGAUCAAAUUCAUGCUCACCAUGUUAUUAUGUGGAUUAAUCUGGUUAUAAAUCAUUUACAAAUUACAAUUUUUUGACCUAAAGGGGGAAAUCAGAGUUAAUGAGUUAAUCUGAUUGCAAGUGCGUUUUUCUGUUCUAUGAGUGUUUUUUGGCACGAGAUUUCCCCCAAAAUCCUCAAAUUUAAGUAAUUUGGGUUUUUCGUUUCUUCAAAUGUCAGAUGUAGAUUAUUAAACCAAAUCAAUAGAUGGGUUUGUUUUAGUUGAGGUUUAGAAUUUGUUCAUUAACGGAUUCGAGUUUCAUGGAUUAGGGUUUCUAACAGAUUGGGGAUUUAGGCUCCAUGGAUUUGAAUUACAGAUGAAAAAGAUAAAACUGAUGGUGAGAAACUAAAAGAAGAAGUUUGAGUUUGUGUUCUGAGAUUCGUGAAGCCAUCCAAAUUCUCGUGCUUUGGAUGUAUACGAGGAGGCCGAGAAGUUGCUGAAAGAAGAACCACAUGUGGAGUUCAGUGGCGAGGUUCCUUCCCCAACUUCUUUUAUUGCAGGAAUUUGUGUACAAGAAGGUCAUGGACGGUAUCUGGACUUGCAUGAGUUGUACUAUGAGUACAUUAAUUCUAAGUUUGCAGACCAAUAAAGUAUUCUACUUAUCUGGAUGUGUUCUCCCAAUCACAUAAAAUUUCAUGUAAACUAAAGCUAAGCAGGUAACUUUGCUGGAGUACGGUACAGUGCAUGAGUUGAUGGACGUGGGUAAGGACAUAUUAAAAGAGGUAUGUCUCUUCUGCCAACGAUUGAUUGCUUAAAGUUCUCUUGAGUGCGCAUCUGUGAAUUAGUAGUACAGAUAAUUAAUUUGUCAUUUCUAUAGUUCAUGUACGCCAGACGAUACUAGUUUACAUUUUCUUAAUAGAUUAUCUCGAAAUCUUUUUUUUUUGGAUGACCUGUUUUGCUGAAAGGAGGGCUCUUAAGUUUUGUCAAUAUUAUUCUGUUAGUGGGGGCACUAACCUUAAGUUUAAAUUGGGGAAGUCUGGUUGAUUGAAAGGUUUGUUUUCUGUAACAGAGUCCAUCGAGCAAACAUGCACAUUAUGUGGUUGCUGGUGAACCCAUAAGAUUGCUAGUCAGUCGCUAUAAAUUUCAGCUUAUAAUAUAUCUGAAUCACUUUUUUGUUGUCGAUACCCUAGCUAGUGCAGGGGAAGAUCGGAUAAUGCAAGUGAUGGCAUCAUAUACUUUGUAUUGGCUUUUCAGUUUUUCCUUAGGUAACUCUUCUUUCAAAUAUGAGUGAGUCAUUCCUUUCUUAACCAGUUUUAGAACUUUAUAUGAUAUAUGAAUAAAAUUAGAUGUUGAGCACCCUUCAUAUCUAGGUAAGCAUGUACACUCUUCAGCAGGGGGCGCUGCUUUUGCUGAUAACAGCAGUUUGUUUUGUCCCUUUGAAACUAUUGCAAAGAAAGCGGGCAGUAACAGGAUUUGUUCAUGUUUCAGUCCACAUGGAUGCAACACUCAUUUUGCCGCUGUCUAGUUGUAUUUCCACAGGAGUUCCUUUGUAUAGUGUCAGGUUAAUAUGUUAACAUAUAUUGGUGUAGAAUCUGAGUAGCACUACUGAGGACUGAACCUUUUGAGUUGUCCCUUAGUACUGGUAUUUUUUGUGGAUACUGUGAAAUUGUUUCCCUCUACUAAUAUGGCGCUCAUAUCUAUUUUUCAAUCACACCGACCUGCUGGAAGAGAAAUCUGAAUUGAGAAUGUAGUUCUGAAGUAUGGAGGCAAAGCUCUUGACCAUAGAAAACGACAAUCUUGUUCUUAGACAAAAGCAGUAACCACCCCACCUAAGAGCAAUCACCCCUUGAUAUGCUGCUGCAAAAUAAAGCCUAAUCAUAGACUUAUGAUUUUUAUUUUUAGAUGAGUCGAAGAACUUUCUGGCCCGCAUAGCUCGACAUGAAAAUUCUUUAGACUAAAAUUUUUGACAAUCCUGGAGCUUAGGUUUGGGCUUCUUACCGUGGACAUCGCUAGGACUGGGUGAAUCACGUAACUGAGUUUUAUCAGCUCAAUGUUUUGCAGGGUGCAAGAGAAAUUUGUGCACCCAAAGAAAGCCAAGGAUAAACUUUAAAAAUGAGUAGUCUCGCAUGCUUGAUGUCGGAGACUAGGCAGGAAGUUUAACGAAUCAUUUUGGCAAAGUUAAAGGUUCUUCUGUAUGUUCGUCAUCAUUUUAUUUUAUCUGAAAUACAAAGAACUUGUCAAUCUUUUGAUACUACACACAUAAUUUAAAUGUCAAUAGGACUUGAGAAAUGUUUCUAGCUAUACUUUGUGAUGUGUUUCUUAGUUUUUGUGUAUA